rnacentral:sRNA from 1 species
CCGAGGACAACGCCACGGCCUGCUCUCC